GUGCCAGCCGCCGCGGUAAAACGUAGGAGGCGAGCGUUAUCCGGAUUUACUGGGUGUAAAGCGCAUGCAGGCGGCCUUGUAAGUCGGAUGUGAAAUCUCCCGGCUCAACUGGGAGGCGUCAUUCGAUACUGCAAGGCUUGAGGGCAGGAGAGGGGAGUGGAAUUCCCGGUGUAGUGGUGAAAUGCGUAGAUAUCGGGAGGAACACCAGUGGCGAAGGCGGCUCCCUGGCCUGUACCUGACGCUAAGAUGCGAAAGCGUGGGGAGCGAACGGGAUUAGAAACCCCGGUAGUCCACGCCGUAAACGAUGCGGACUAGGUGUGGGAGGUAUUGACCCCUUCCGUGCCGUAGCUAACGCGUUAAGUCCGCCGCCUGGGGACUACGGCCGCAAGGCUAAAACUUAAAGGAAUUGGCGGGG
rnacentral:rRNA from 1 species